UUUAUUACGUCUUUUCCCAAGCCUACAAUAACCACAGGAGGAAGAAUAAAAUUUAGGUAGGAAAAUAAGUUGCUCAACUCGUGCCUGAAAAUUAUCGUGUAAGCUUGUCUAGGUGCUGUCACAGAAGGAAGAGCCUGUACUCCUGAUCCAGAACUGCUACCUUCCGAAUGGAUGUCAGUGGCACUCCGAUGUUUUCCAGCUGAGAGACUUCAGCAUAGUGAUACAGAAGGAGAGGAUCACACAGAUACUUCCCUUCAGUGCAGGAGCCUGUGUGACCUGAGUCCCUGUCAGACUGAGCUCGCAGUCCACGCUCACAGCUGGGAGCAUUCUAGGCUGCAUGGUGUUGUGAGCCUUGGACUUCACUUAUGUAAGAUGAAGACACUCCAUUGUUAUCCGAGAGCUGGUGCACCGGGUAAAGUGCUGGACUCUCGAGGAUCAGGUCCUGAGUUCAAUCCUGGCAGCACAUGUACCAGAGUGAUGCUCUGGAUCUCAUUCCCCCUCCCCUCUUAUCUCCUCAGUCAGUACAAGCUGAGGAGAGGGAGGAGGAGAAACCCCAGCCUGGCAAGGUGCAGGAAAGAGCCGGGAAGAACUCUCCCAGCCACCCCCAGAGCCCUGCGUCACUUCAGGACAUGCUUGGAGGAAUGCCACACUCAGGAGGAAGUAUUCCAGACGCUCGUGGGAAGAAGGCAGAGGCUGGCAAUUCUGGAAGGAACACGACCUAGGAGUGCCCAAGUCCCAAGCCCCUGAGCUUUGGACCCGAGUUCUGCUCAGCUCUGGCUUAUGGUGGUGCUGAGGAUUGAACCUGGCUCUCCGGUGCCAGGGCAUGUAAGUCUCGUGUGCUACUACUGCCUGGCCCACUAAGUGGCUUUAAACAGCCCCGCAGAUGUGGCUCCCCACAGAAGGACAAGGCGGCUGAAGAUGGUGAAGCCGCAGGCCCGUUCAGUGCCGGAACACUCCUCUCUCAGGUGUCUUUCUGGUGGACAGGUGUCUGCCGAGUUUCUUCCGUACUGAUGACAGACUCUGAAGCAGGUGGGAUUUCCUCUGCGACUUGGACACAGUGAAGUUUCCAGAAAGCUUCAGGCUGAGCUUGGCCCACGAGCUACACAGACCCACGGAGGCUAUACUACACUUCAUCGUGUGUGCCAACCUUUCAGCCACGUUUCCCACCUGAGGGCAUUUGCAGGAGGCUGCUCAGAAGACCCUGGGCCCACGGACUGAGUUGGACCUUGGCUUGAAGAGCCGGCAUGGCGUUUAUGCUCUGGUUGCCACUAAGCCACUAGGUUUAGUUAAUUCUCUGCCGGACUUUGGUCUAGAAGUAGUUGCUUAAUGUCACCACAAGGGGGCGCUGGCAGCCUUAGUGACCGAUAGACGGUCACCUAGAGGUCAGGCGGUAGCGCAGCGGGUUAAGCGCACAUGGUACAAAGCGCAAGGACCAGGCAUAAGGAUCCUGGUUCGAGCCCCCCGCUCCCCACCUGCAAGGGGAGUCUAUCUGUCCUGUCCAACAACAACAACAUCAAUGACUACAAUAAUAAUAACUACAACAAUAAAACAACAAGGGUAACAAAAGGGAAUAAAUA